UUGAACGCUUGCGGCAGGCCUAACACAUGCCAGUCGCACGGUAACAGGAAGCAGCUUGCUGCUUUGCUGACGAGUGGCGGACGGGUGAGUAAUGUCUGGGAAACUGCCCGAUGGAGGGGGAUAACUACUGGAAACGGUAGCUAAUACCGCAUAACGUCGCAAGACCAAAGAGGGGGACCUUAGGGCCUCUUGCCAUCGGAUGUGCCCAGAUGGGUUUAGCUAGUAGGUGGGGUAACGGCUCACCUAGGCGACGAUCCCUAGCUGGUCUGAGAGGAUGACCGGCCACACUGGAACUGAGACACGGUCCAGACUCCUACGGGAGGCAGCAGUGGGGAAUAUUGCGCAAUGGGCGCAAGCCUGAUGCAGCCAUGCCGCGUGUAUGAAGAAGGCCUUCGGGUUGUAAAGUACUUUCAGCGGGGAGGAAGGGAGUAAAGUUAAUACCUUUGCUCAUUGACGUUACCCGCAGAAGAAGCACCGGCUAACUCCGUG
rnacentral:rRNA from 1 species